rnacentral:rRNA from 1 species
AGCCGCCGCGGUAAUUCGUAGGGCGCAAGCGUUGUCCGGAAUCAUUGGGCGUAAAGAGCUCGUAGGCGGCCUGUCGCGUCUGCUGUGAAAUCCCGGGUCUUAACCCCGGGCGUGCAGUGGAUACGGGCUGGCUGGAGGCAGGCAGGGGAGAACGGAAUUCCCGGUGUAGCGGUGAAAUGCGCAGAUAUCGGGAGGAACACCGGUGGCGAAGGCGGUUCUCUGGGCCUGUACUGACGCUGAGGAGCAAAAGCGUGGGGAGCGAACAGGAUUAGAUACCCUGGUAGUCCACGCCGUAAACGUUGGGCGCUAGGUGUGGGUCCCUUCCACGGGGUCUGUGCCGCAGCUAACGCAUUAAGCGCCCCGCCUGGGGAGUACGGCCGCAAGGCUAAAACUCAAAGGAAUUGACGG